GUGUCAGCCGCCGCGGUAAUACGGGGGGGGUAAGCGUUGUUCGGAAUUACUGGGCGUAAAGGGCUCGUAGGCGGCCAACUAAGUCAGACGUGAAAUCCCUCAGCUUAACUGGGGAACUGCGUCUGAUACUGGAUGGCUUGGAUUCGGGAGAGGAAUGCGGAAUUCCAGGUGUAGCGGUGAAAUGCGUAGAUAUCUGGAGGAACACCGGUGGCGAAGGCGGCAUUCUGGACCGACAUUGACGCUGAGGAGCGAAAGCCAGGGGAGCAAACGGGAUUAGAAACCCCAGUAGUCC
rnacentral:rRNA from 1 species